rnacentral:rRNA from 2 species
GGGUUGUGAGGUUAAGCGACUAAGCGUACACGGUGGAUGCCCUGGCAGUCAGAGGCGAUGAAGGACGUGCUAAUCUGCGAUAAGCGUCGGUAAGGUGAUAUGAACCGUUAUAACCGGCGAUUUCCGAAUGGGGAAACCCAGUGUGUUUCGACACACUAUCAUUAACUGAAUCCAUAGGUUAAUGAGGCGAACCGGGGGAACUGAAACAUCUAAGUACCCCGAGGAAAAGAAAUCAACCGAGAUUCCCCCAGUAGCGGCGAGCGAACGGGGAGGAGCCCAGAGCCUGAAUCAGUGUGUGUGUUAGUGGAAGCGUCUGGAAAGGCGCGCGAUACAGGGUGACAGCCCCGUACACAAAAAUGCACAUGCUGUGAGCUCGAUGAGUAGGGCGGGACACGUGGUAUCCUGUCUGAAUAUGGGGGGACCAUCCUCCAAGGCUAAAUACUCCUGACUGACCGAUAGUGAACCAGUACCGUGAGGGAAAGGCGAAAAGAACCCCGGCGAGGGGAGUGAAAAAGAACCUGAAACCGUGUACGUACAAGCAGUGGGAGCACAGAGCAAUCUGUGUGACUGCGUACCUUUUGUAUAAUGGGUCAGCGACUUAUAUUCUGUAGCAAGGUUAACCGAAUAGGGGAGCCGAAGGGAAACCGAGUCUUAACCGGGCGUUAAGUUGCAGGGUAUAGACCCGAAACCCGGUGAUCUAGCCAUGGGCAGGUUGAAGGUUGGGUAACACUAACUGGAGGACCGAACCGACUAAUGUUGAAAAAUUAGCGGAUGACUUGUGGCUGGGGGUGAAAGGCCAAUCAAACCGGGAGAUAGCUGGUUCUCCCCGAAAGCUAUUUAGGUAGCGCCUCGUGAAUUCAUCUCCGGGGGUAGAGCACUGUUUCGGCAAGGGGGUCAUCCCGACUUACCAACCCGAUGCAAACUGCGAAUACCGGAGAAUGUUAUCACGGGAGACACACGGCGGGUGCUAACGUCCGUCGUGAAGAGGGAAACAACCCAGACCGCCAGCUAAGGUCCCAAAGUCAUGGUUAAGUGGGAAACGAUGUGGGAAGGCCCAGACAGCCAGGAUGUUGGCUUAGAAGCAGCCAUCAUUUAAAGAAAGCGUAAUAGCUCACUGGUCGAGUCGGCCUGCGCGGAAGAUGUAACGGGGCUAAACCAUGCACCGAAGCUGCGGCAGCGACACUGUGUGUUGUUGGGUAGGGGAGCGUUCUGUAAGCCUGUGAAGGUGUACUGUGAGGUAUGCUGGAGGUAUCAGAAGUGCGAAUGCUGACAUAAGUAACGAUAAAGCGGGUGAAAAGCCCGCUCGCCGGAAGACCAAGGGUUCCUGUCCAACGUUAAUCGGGGCAGGGUGAGUCGACCCCUAAGGCGAGGCCGAAAGGCGUAGUCGAUGGGAAACAGGUUAAUAUUCCUGUACUUGGUGUUACUGCGAAGGGGGGACGGAGAAGGCUAUGUUGGCCGGGCGACGGUUGUCCCGGUUUAAGCGUGUAGGCUGGUUUUCCAGGCAAAUCCGGAAAAUCAAGGCUGAGGCGUGAUGACGAGGCACUACGGUGCUGAAGCAACAAAUGCCCUGCUUCCAGGAAAAGCCUCUAAGCAUCAGGUAACAUCAAAUCGUACCCCAAACCGACACAGGUGGUCAGGUAGAGAAUACCAAGGCGCUUGAGAGAACUCGGGUGAAGGAACUAGGCAAAAUGGUGCCGUAACUUCGGGAGAAGGCACGCUGAUAUGUAGGUGAAGUCCCUCGCGGAUGGAGCUGAAAUCAGUCGAAGAUACCAGCUGGCUGCAACUGUUUAUUAAAAACACAGCACUGUGCAAACACGAAAGUGGACGUAUACGGUGUGACGCCUGCCCGGUGCCGGAAGGUUAAUUGAUGGGGUCAGCGCAAGCGAAGCUCUUGAUCGAAGCCCCGGUAAACGGCGGCCGUAACUAUAACGGUCCUAAGGUAGCGAAAUUCCUUGUCGGGUAAGUUCCGACCUGCACGAAUGGCGUAAUGAUGGCCAGGCUGUCUCCACCCGAGACUCAGUGAAAUUGAACUCGCUGUGAAGAUGCAGUGUACCCGCGGCAAGACGGAAAGACCCCGUGAACCUUUACUAUAGCUUGACACUGAACAUUGAGCCUUGAUGUGUAGGAUAGGUGGGAGGCUUUGAAGUGUGGACGCCAGUCUGCAUGGAGCCGACCUUGAAAUACCACCCUUUAAUGUUUGAUGUUCUAACGUGGACCCGUGAUCCGGGUUGCGGACAGUGUCUGGUGGGUAGUUUGACUGGGGCGGUCUCCUCCUAAAGAGUAACGGAGGAGCACGAAGGUUGGCUAAUCCUGGUCGGACAUCAGGAGGUUAGUGCAAUGGCAUAAGCCAGCUUGACUGCGAGCGUGACGGCGCGAGCAGGUGCGAAAGCAGGUCAUAGUGAUCCGGUGGUUCUGAAUGGAAGGGCCAUCGCUCAACGGAUAAAAGGUACUCCGGGGAUAACAGGCUGAUACCGCCCAAGAGUUCAUAUCGACGGCGGUGUUUGGCACCUCGAUGUCGGCUCAUCACAUCCUGGGGCUGAAGUAGGUCCCAAGGGUAUGGCUGUUCGCCAUUUAAAGUGGUACGCGAGCUGGGUUUAGAACGUCGUGAGACAGUUCGGUCCCUAUCUGCCGUGGGCGCUGGAGAACUGAGGGGGGCUGCUCCUAGUACGAGAGGACCGGAGUGGACGCAUCACUGGUGUUCGGGUUGUCAUGCCAAUGGCACUGCCCGGUAGCUAAAUGCGGAAGAGAUAAGUGCUGAAAGCAUCUAAGCACGAAACUUGCCCCGAGAUGAGUUCUCCCUGACCCUUUAAGGGUCCUGAAGGAACGUUGAAGACGACGACGUUGAUAGGCCGGGUGUGUAAGCGCAGCGAUGCGUUGAGCUAACCGGUACUAAUGAACCGUGAGGCUUAACCUUACAACGCCGAAGGUGUUU